rnacentral:tRNA from 1 species
GAAGUAUUAGUUAAUAAAUAACAUUAGAAUGUCAAUCUAAAAUAAUUAAUAUAUUUAAUAUUCUUCU